rnacentral:rRNA from 1 species
GAUGAACGCUGGCGGCGUGCCUAAUACAUGCAAGUCGAGCGAACAGACGAGGAGCUUGCUCCUUUGACGUUAGCGGCGGACGGGUGAGUAACACGUGGAUAACCUACCUAUAAGACUGGGAUAACUUCGGGAAACCGGAGCUAAUACCGGAUAACAUGUUGAACCGCAUGGUUCAACAGUGAAAGACGGUCUUGCUGUCACUUAUAGAUGGAUCCGCGCCGCAUUAGCUAGUUGGUAAGGUAACGGCUUACCAAGGCAACGAUGCGUAGCCGACCUGAGAGGGUGAUCGGCCACACUGGAACUGAGACACGGUCCAGACUCCUAAGGGAGGCAGCAGUAGGGAAUCUUCCGCAAUGGGCGAAAGCCUGACGGAGCAACGCCGCGUGAGUGAAGAAGGUCUUCGGAUCGUAAAACUCUGUUAUUAGGGAAGAACAAAUGUGUAAGUAACUAUGCACGUCUUGACGGUACCUAAUCAGAAAGCCACGGCUAACUACGUG